AACUGGCCCCAAAAAAUACUAUUUUCAAGCCAUUAUUUCUUAAGGGUCCAGUGUGGAUUAAUGUGGUAAUAUCCACUUUUAUAUUUACGUUCACACUGGCUUGAAUAAAAUCCAAAAAUUGUAAACAACAAAUAAAAUGGAUACUGCACUUCUAAAAAGAAUAGAAACGAAUGUAGUAAUAGCUACUGUUGUUACAGCAUUAGUUAUCAAGGACGAAGACAAAAAGAAGCGACCUAGAUCUUAUUGGGUUAGUCCGUAUUUGGCUGAACGUCUUAAGAAAGGACGAUUUUCAACAGAUGUAAGAUAUACAACAAGAACAGACUACAUUAUAAAUAUCUUCUUUCACAGUUUGAAAAUUUAACACAAAAUCCGUCGCUUUUUUUUGAAAACUUUCAUAUGAGUAUGGUCCAUUUCCAAGAAUUGUAUGAAAAGUUGAAGCCAGUUCUUGUUCCAAAAAUGUUUUCUUGUUCUGACUCUAUUCGCCCCCACGAAAAAUUGGCCUUAGUACUUGAGUAUCUAGCUUCGGGUGAUAAUCGACGUCAUAUUGCUUCAACUUAUCGAAUAAGCAAACAACGUGUAGGACCAAUAAUUGAUUUUGUGUGCACUGAAAUAUGCAAGCAACUUAAAAAUGAAGUGCCUCCAUGAACCAAGGAAACGAUGCUGAAAAAUGCCGAUGAUUUUGAAAAUGAAGGCCCCACCUCAAAGUGGCACCGUAUUCUUUAACUAUAAGGGAUUCCACUCGAUUGUAAUAUUGGCUGUUAGUGGCGCUAAAUACAGACUUAUUUGGAUAUUGGAGCGUAUGGAAGUGAAGGAGACAUGAACGCAUUUUCUCAUUGUAAGCUUGGCAAAGCCAUCCUUCUGGACCAGUUGGACUUUCCAGAUGACAAGUCAAGAAAUGAAGUUAUGGUGCCAUAUUACUUGGUGGCAGAUGAUGCAUUUCCAUUGUCAAAGCGAAUUAUGAAGCCGUAUAGCUUGAGAAACUUAACUAAAGCUGAGUUAGUUUUCAAUUAUUGGCUUAGCCGAGCGCAAAGAGUCGUAGAAAGUGCGUUUGGCAUACUAAGCCAUAAGUGGAUGGCCAUGCACAGAACUCUCAUGUGCCAUCCAGACAGAGCUAAAAAUAUUGUCGCUGCCUGUUGCUUUCUCCCCAAUUAUGUCCUUAGAAGAUCUCCAUUGGACUAUAAUAUUAAUGAACAUAUCAAUCCAGUUCUUCAUUCUUUGAAUUCACUCAAUUUCGUGGCAGAGUACAGGAAUAUCAAAAAUAUGUAAGAGAUAGCGUAAAGAACUAUGUUAACAGUCCACAAGGUUCAUGUCGUUGGCAAAAUAAAUAAG